rnacentral:rRNA from 1 species
GACGAACGCUGGCGGCGCGCUUAACACAUGCAAGUCGAACGGAAAGGCCUGCUUUCCCUUGUGGAUUGCGGGUACUCGAGUGGCGAACGGGUGAGUAACACGUGAGUGAUCUGCCCCCAACUUGGGUAUAAGCCUGGGAAACUGGGUCUAAUUCCCGAUAGGACUGCAGGGUGGUGCCUGUGGUGGAAAACGAUUUUCUAGUGGUUGGGGAUGAGCUCGCGGCCUAUCAGUUUGUUGGUGGGGUAAUGGCCUACCAAGGCGGCGACGGGUAGCCGGCCUGAGAGGGUGGACGGCCACAUUGGGACUGAGAUACGGCCCAGACUCCUACGGGAGGCAGCAGUGGGGAAUAUUGCACAAUGGGCGGAAGCCUGAUGCAGCGACGCCGCGUGGGGGAUGACGGCCUUCGGGUUGUAAACUCCUUUCGACCGCGAGGAAGCCACCUGGUUGGAAGGGUGGUGACGGUAGUGGUAGAAGAAGCACCGGCUAACUACGUG